GAGGAAUGUAUAGCAAUAGCUACUUGCAUCAUUGAAAAUAUGAUGCAAGAUCGACUAUGUCGAAUAAAAUUCUAGGUAGAAUUAUGAUAAUGACAUUGUCUGCCUAUGUGUCUUGACCAAAUUACGUGCCAGCAGUCGCGGUAAUACGUAGAAGACUAGUGUUAUUCAUGUUUAAUCGGUUUAAAGGGUACCUAGACGGUAAAUCAAGCCUAAAAGGAAGGAAAUAAAGGGACUAAUUUACUAGAGUUACUUAUGAGGGGGUAUUAAAGUACUGCUGGUGUAGAGAUGAAAUUCUGUCAUACCUCUUUUCAAUAGAAAAAUAAUGGCACAGGUAUAGGCGAAAGCAUCCCCUUAUGUGAUAACUGACGUUGAGGGACGAAGGCUUUGUGUAGCGAACAGGAUUAGAUACCCCAGUAGUCAAAGCAGAAAAUGAUGAAUGUCAUAGAUUAGAUAUAUAAGUUUAUUCUAUAAAUGAAAGUGUAAGCAUUCCACCUCAAGAGUAAUUUGGCAACAUUGGAACUGAAAUCAUUAGACCGUUUCUGAAACCAG
rnacentral:rRNA from 1 species